GAGCCAUCGAGGACUAGAGAAGGUGAGUUAAAGACAUGGGAGAUCUAAUGCUGUGCUGCCUAUAGACACAUCACUAACAAUAACCUAGAACACACGAGUGAGUGAUUGAGUGAGUGAGUGAGCGAGUGAUGAGGGU